rfam:Roseburia inulinivorans CAG:15 genomic scaffold, scf64
GGAAUUCUUCGGGGCAGGGUGAUACGAUAACGUAGAUUCCCGACCGACGGUGAUCUGGCGAUCAAUGAAUGCCAGAAAGUCCGUGACCUGCGCAAGCAGCUGAUCCGGUGUGAGUCCGGAACCGACAGUAUAGUCUGGAUGAGAGAAGAAAGCG